rnacentral:rRNA from 1 species
UACGAAGGGGGCUAGCGUUGUUCGGAUUUACUGGGCGUAAAGAGCGCGCAGGCGGUCGUUCAAGUCGCGUGUGAAAGCCCCCGGCUCAACUGGGGAGGGUCACGCGAUACUGAUCGACUCGAAGGCAGGAGAGGGAAGUGGAAUUCCCGGUGUAGUGGUGAAAUGCGUAGAUAUCGGGAGGAACACCAGUGGCGAAGGCGACUUCCUGGCCUGUUCUUGACGCUGAGGCGCGAAAGCUAGGGGAGCGAAUGGG